rnacentral:rRNA from 1 species
CAGUAGCCACGGUAAUACGGAGGGCGCGAGCGUUACCCGGAUUUACUGGGCGUAAAGGGCGUGUAGGCGGCCUGGGGCGUCCCAUGUGAAAGGCCACGGCUCAACCGUGGAGGAGCGUGGGAUACGCUCAGGCUAGAGGGUGGGAGAGGGUGGUGGAAUUCCCGGAGUAGCGGUGAAAUGCGCAGAUACCGAGAGGAACGCCGAUGGCGAAGGCAGCCACCUGGUCCACUUCUGACGCUGAGGCGCGAAAGCGUGGGGAGCAAACCGGAUUAGAUACCCCCGUAGUCCCUGUCUCUUAUAC